CAACGACAGAGUGAACGACAAUCAAAAUGAAGACAUUAGUGUGCAUUAUUUUGAUCCUCAUAUCGAGGGUACUUGCAAAACCAACUUUAGAGUAUUUGGGCGCAAUCGAAGCUGUGCCGCCUAGUGUUACUCUGUCGCAAUUGAGCGAUAGUCGUACAGAUGGAAAUGGAAUCCAUAUGAAUCAACUCACAAACCCUCUGUUUCAAGUUGUUCUAGACGAAAGCGAUAAUAAAAGGCGAGUUCAACGAUACAGAGACGUAUUUUAAUUCAUAUUAGAAAUGAUAAUAAAUACGUUCACAUUCAAACAAAUUUCAAUAGAAUAUACCCCACUCAUGAAUUACUCAAUGAUAUUCAUAGAAACACAGAGACAAUAAAUUAAAUAAAUAGUAUUGACUAUGUACGUCAUAUGUAUUUUCAUCUAUAUAAAACAAUUCACUAUGUUUGAAUGUGUAACAUUUAAGAUAUUAAAAGGAAUCAAGAACAAAUAACAGAAUUCAACAUAUUUACGUCCCAUCCAUCAUAAGACAAGACAAUAUUAAGAACGUACCAGUUUGC